UACGUAGGUGGCGAGCGUUGUCCGGAUUUACUGGGCGUAAAGCGCGCGCAGGCGGUCGUGCAAGUCGCGUGUGAAAGCCCCCAGCUCAACUGGGGAGGGUCACGCGAUACUGCUCGACUCGAAGGCAGGAGAGGGAAGUGGAAUUCCCGGUGUAGUGGUGAAAUGCGUAGAUAUCGGGAGGAACACCAGUGGCGAAGGCGACUUCCUGGCCUGUUCUUGACGCUGAGGCGCGAAAGCUAGGGUAGCAAACGGG
rnacentral:rRNA from 1 species